rnacentral:rRNA from 1 species
UACGUAGGGGGCAAGCGUUGUCCGGAUUUAUUGGGCGUAAAGAGCGUGUAGGCGGCCAGAUAGGUCAGCUGUGAAAACUCGAGGCUCAACCUCGAGAUGUCGGCUGAAACCAUCUGGCUAGAGUCCGGAAGAGGAGAAUGGAAUUCCCGGUGUAGCGGUGAAAUGCGCAGAUAUCGGGAAGAACACCCGUGGCGAAGGCGGUUCUCUGGGACGGUACUGACGCUAAGGCGCGAAAGCGUGGGGAGCGAACAGG